GACGAACGCUGGCGGCGCGCCUAACACAUGCAAGUCGAACGAGCGAGAGAGAGCUUGCUUUCUCAAGCGAGUGGCGAACGGGUGAGUAACGCGUGAGGAACCUGCCUCAAAGAGGGGGACAACAGUUGGAAACGACUGCUAAUACCGCAUAAGCCCACGGCUCGGCAUCGAGCAGAGGGAAAAGGAGCAAUCCGCUUUGAGAUGGCCUCGCGUCCGAUUAGCUAGUUGGUGAGGUAACGGCCCACCAAGGCGACGAUCGGUAGCCGGACUGAGAGGUUGAACGGCCACAUUGGGACUGAGACACGGCCCAGACUCCUACGGGAGGCAGCAGUGGGGAAUAUUGCACAAUGGGGGAAACCCUGAUGCAGCGACGCCGCGUGGAGGAAGAAGGUCUUCGGAUUGUAAACUCCUGUUGUUGAGGAAGAUAAUGACGGUACUCAACAAGGAAGUGACGGCUAACUACGUGCCAGCAGCCGCGGUAAAACGUAGGUCACAAGCGUUGUCCGGAAUUACUGGGUGUAAAGGGAGCGCAGGCGGGAAGACAAGUUGGAAGUGAAAUCCAUGGGCUCAACCCAUGAACUGCUUUCAAAACUGUUUUUCUUGAGUAGUGCAGAGGUAGGUGGAAUUCCCGGUGUAGCGGUGGAAUGCGUAGAUAUCGGGAGGAACACCAGUGGCGAAGGCGGCCUACUGGGCACCAACUGACGCUGAGGCUCGAAAGUGUGGGUAGCAAACAGGAUUAGAUACCCUGGUAGUCCACACUGUAAACGAUGAUUACUAGGUGUUGGAGGAGUGACCCCUUCAGCGCCGCAGUUAACACAAUAAGUAAUCCACCUGGGGAGUACGACCGCAAGGUUGAAACUCAAAGGAAUUGACGGGGGCCCGCACAAGCAGUGGAGUAUGUGGUUUAAUUCGACGCAACGCGAAGAACCUUACCAAGUCUUGACAUCCUGCGAUGGUGCUGGAAACAGUACUUUCCUUCGGGACGCAGAGACAGGUGGUGCAUGGUUGUCGUCAGCUCGUGUCGUGAGAUGUUGGGUUAAGUCCCGCAACGAGCGCAACCCUUAUGGUCAGUUACUACGCAAGAGGACUCUGGCCAGACUGCCGUUGACAAAACGGAGGAAGGUGGGGAGGACGUCAAAUCAUCAUGCCCCUUAUGACUUGGGCUACACACGUACUACAAUGGCGUUAAACAAAGAGAAGCAAGACCGCGAGGUGGAGCAAAACUCAGAAACAACGUCCCAGUUCGGACUGCAGGCUGCAACUCGCCUGCACGAAGUCGGAAUUGCUAGUAAUCGCAGAUCAGCAUGCUGCGGUGAAUAAAAUCCCGGGCCUUGUACA
rnacentral:rRNA from 1 species